rnacentral:rRNA from 1 species
ACGAACGCUGGCGGCAUGCCUAACACCUGCAAGUCGAGCGAGACCUUCGGGUCUAGUGGCGCACGGGUGCGUAACGCGUGGGAACCUGCCCUUAGGUUCGGAAUAACUCCCCGAAAGGGGUGCUAAUACCGGAUAAUGUCUUCGGACCAAAGAUUUAUCGCCUUUGGAUGGGCCCGCGUUGGAUUAGCUAGUUGGUAGGGUAAAAGCCUACCAAGGCGACGAUCCAUAGCUGGUCUGAGAGGAUGAUCAGCCACACUGGGACUGAGACACGGCCCAGACUCCUACGGGAGGCAGCAGUGGGGAAUAUUGGACAAUGGGCGAAAGCCUGAUCCAGCAAUGCCGCGUGAGUGAUGAAGGCCUUAGGGUUGUAAAGCUCUUUUACCCGGGAUGAUAAUGACAGUACCGGGAGAAUAAGCUCCGGCUAACUCCGUG